rnacentral:lncRNA from 1 species
ACAAUAUAUGCAAUAUACGUUUGUGUAUUGGUGGGAUUUAAACUCCACUUGCACAGACAUUAAAGUAUCGAUCUAUUUAAAGAUACACAAUAUUUGUUAAGAUAAACGAUUGUAAAUAUGUAUUCUAAAAUAAUAAACGCUCUAAUCGUACCAAGGUCAACAUAAUGGACACUUCUACCGAGUUAAGGGAUAUAUAUACAAGGCAGCCUUUAGAAGAUUUAUUGCAGGAUGAUAGGGUAUUUCAUCUGUUGAUUGUGUCAACAAUAGGUGCAUGUUUGAUCAACUUGUUCAACAUUUAUGUGCCAUUGAUAGUACUAAAUUACGCUAUCUAUGUAAUGCUAAUUGCAUUUGGAUAUAAAAUUGGUUACGCAAUAUCCCAAUGUAAGAUCAAACAACACUCUGCUGAAAUAGAGGCCAGCUACAGUAAAAUAAAGGAAAUCCGCCGGUGCUUAGAUGAAACGACACGUGAGUAAAACUAUCGAAUUCAUUCGUCAUAACAA